UAGGGAAUCUUCCACAAUGGACGCAAGUCUGAUGGAGCAACGCCGCGUGAGUGAAGAAGGUCUUCGGAUCGUAAAGCUCUGUUGUUGGUGAAGAAGGAUAGAGGCAGUAACUGGUCUUUAUUUGACGGUAAUCAACCAGAAAGUCACGGCUAACUACGCGCCAGCAGCCGCGGUAAUACGUAGGUGGCAAGCGUUGUCCGGAUUUAUUGGGCGUAAAGCGAGCGCAGGCGGAAUGAUAAGUCUGAUGUGAAAGCCCACGGCUCAACCGUGGAACUGCAUCGGAAACUGUCAUUCUUGAGUGCAGAAGAGGAGAGUGGAACUCCAUGUGUAGCGGUGGAAUGCGUAGAUAUAUGGAAGAACACCAGUGGCGAAGGCGGCUCUCUGGUCUGCAACUGACGCUGAGGCUCGAAAGCAUGGGUAGCGAACAGGAUUAGAUACCCUGGUAGUCCAUGCCGUAAACGAUGAGCGCUAGGUGUUGGGGACUUUCCGGUCCUCAGUGCCGCAGCAAACGCAUUAAGCGCUCCGCCUGGGGAGUACGACCGCAAGGUUGAAAC
rnacentral:rRNA from 1 species